rnacentral:rRNA from 1 species
GGAAUAUUGGGCAAUGGGCGCAAGCCUGACCCAGCCAUGCCGCGUGUGUGAAGAAGGCUCUAGGGUUGUAAAGCACUUUAAGUGGGGAGGAAAGGGUAAUCGUUAAUAUCGGUUAUCUGUGACGUUACCCACAGAAUAAGCACCGGCUAACUCCGUGCCAGCAGCCGCGGUAAUACGGAGGGUGCAAGCGUUAAUCGGACGUACUGGGCGUAAAGCGCGCGUAGGCGGUUUGUUAAGCGAGAUGUGAAAGCCCUGGGCUCAACCUGGGAACUGCAUUUCGAACUGGCAGGCUAGAGUACAAGAGAGGGUGGUGGAAUUUCCAGUGUAGCGGUGAAAUGCGUAGAGAUUGGAAGGAACAUCAGUGGCGAAGGCGGCCACCUGGAUUGAUACUGACGCUGAGGUGCGAAAGCGUGGGGAGCG